rnacentral:rRNA from 1 species
GACGAACGCUGGCGGCGCGCUUAACACAUGCAAGUCGAACGGAAAGGCCCUGCUUUUGUGGGGUGCUCGAGUGGCGAACGGGUGAGUAACACGUGAGUAACCUGCCCUUGACUUUGGGAUAACUUCAGGAAACUGGGGCUAAUACCGGAUAGGAGCUCCUGCUGCAUGGUGGGGGUUGGAAAGUUUCGGCGGUUGGGGAUGGACUCGCGGCUUAUCAGCUUGUUGGUGGGGUAGUGGCUUACCAAGGCUUUGACGGGUAGCCGGCCUGAGAGGGUGACCGGCCACAUUGGGACUGAGAUACGGCCCAGACUCCUACGGGAGGCAGCAGUGGGGAAUAUUGCACAAUGGGCGGAAGACUGAUGCAGCAACGCCGCGUGCGGGAUGACGGCCUUCGGGUUGUAAACCGCUUUCGCCUGUGACGAAGCGUGAGUGACGGUAAUGGGUAAAGAAGCACCGGCUAACUACGUG